UCUGUAUCCCUCUGCCUCAACCCAGCCCUGUCUAUCUGUAUCCCUCUGCCUCAACCCAGCCCUGUCUAUCUGUAUCCCUCUGCCUCAACCCAACCCUGUCUGUCUGUAUCCCUCCACCUCAACCCAGCCCUGUCUGUCUGUAUCCCUCCGCCUCAACCCAGCCCUGUCUGUCUGUAUCCCUCCGCAUAAACCCAACUCUGUCUCUAUGUCCCUCUCCUUAACCCAACCCUGUCUCUAUGUCCCUCUCCUUAACCCAUCCCUGUCUCUAUGUCCCUCCUUAACCCAACCCUGUCUCUAUGUCCCUCUCCUUAACCCAACCCUGUCUCUAUGUCCCUCUCCUUAACCCAACCCUGUCUCUAUGUCCCUCUCCUUAACCCAACCCUGUCUCUAUGUCCCUCUCCUUAACCCAACCCUGUCUCUAUGUCCCUUUCCUUAACCCAACCCUGUCUCUAUGUCCCUCUCCUUAACCCAUCCCUGUCUCUAUGUCCCUCUCCUUAACCCAACCCUGUCUCUAUGUCCCUCUCCUUAACCCAUCCCUGUCUCUAUGUCCCUCUCCUUAACCCAACCCUGUCUCUGUAUCUUUCCUUUGACCCCAAUCCGUAUCCCUCCAACAGUGGGCCCCAGAUCUCCUACUGUGAGAAGUGGGGACAGGGACCUAGUGGGACUGUCCAUAGAGAAAGUGUACAUCUUGACACAUUUCCAUGUAUCUCUAUGUCUUCCUGGGGUGUUUGACAUGUGUCCAGCUCGGGUGAGUUAGAGUAGUAUACUGUCUAUUCUAUUCACCUUGUGCUAAAACUAGACAGACAGAGCCAGGUUGUACAACCGUAAUAACUAUCUCAGUCAAAUGGCCGCCCAUAGAAAUAAAGUUAGUCAAAUUGUAACAAUAUAUAGUAAUUAUAUUUCUAUGGGGACACCCAUCUAGUCAACAACACACCUCCCUCUGUAGAACAGAGCAAAACCCAGCGGUGCUUUUCUGAGACCUACCGUCUACCGAACGGCCAAGCCUCCCCGUGGCAGUUUAGUCCUAGUCCAGCCUACACCUGUCCCCCUUUAGUCAUUCACUUCUCCCCACCAGACCCCUCCCUCUCUGCACCUCCCCCUCUCCUUCACUUUCUCCUCGCCCGUCCACCUUCCUACCGCUUCCUCCUGUCAUUGUCAUGGUUACUUCUUUUUUUUUUGGUUUUCUCUUGGGUUCUUAAUUUCCUUGUUUUUUUUUUUUGUUUUUUUUUUGCUGUACAAAGUGUUUAAAAUAUUAUUAUUUGUAUUAUAUGAUGUUAGUAUGGUAAUGUUCUUUAUUAAGGAAGAAGAAAAAUUUAUUUUUGUUACUGGUCUGUUUCAUAAUUCUUUUUUAAAUUGGUAUUGUAAGAUAUCUAUGCAAGAACUGUUCAGUGGAG
ensembl:lncRNA